CAUGAUGGAAAGACGAAGGCAGUCAGACCUCGUAUAAUGUUACUCCAUGAAUGUGUCCCUUUCUUGAGUGAUGGCAGAAUAUGGAAUUGGAAAAGAAAGUAGGAACAAUUGCAUUGAAAGGAACCAUAAACAGUUAUAAAGCAAUGCGUUAAGAUCUCAAAGAGAGAGGAAUGAAGAGGAAUUGGGUGCAAUAUCAUCAGUACGCUGAUGAUACUCAGCUGUACAUCUCCACCCCUGACCACCCCAAUGAGGCUGUUGACGUGAUGUCCCGGUGUUUGGAGGCCAUGUGGGUUUGGAUGGGGAGAAACAGGCUCCGACUCAAUCCCUCCAAGACUGAGUGGCUGUGGAUGCCUGGUUCCAUCGCUGACUGUUGGAGCCGAGUCAUUGGCCCCUAUGGAGAGGGUCCGCAACUUGGGCAUUCUCCUGGAUGCUCAGCUGUCGUUAGAAGAACAUAUGACAGCCGUCGUCAGGGGAGCUUUUCAUCAGGUCUGCCUGAUACGCCAGUUGCGCCCCUUCAUAGACCGGGAUUCCUUGUGCACGGUCACUCAUGCCCUCGUCACUUCCCGCCUGGACUAAUGUAACGCUCUCUACAUGGGGCUCCCCUUGAAGGGCACCCGGAGGCUCCAACUGGUCCAGAAUGCGGCUGCGCGGGUGAUAGAGGGAGCCACUCGGGGUUCCCAUAUAACACCUCUCCUGCGCAGGCUGCACUGGUUGCCGGUGGUCUUCCGGGUGCAAUUCAAGGUGUUGGUUACCACCUUUAAAGCGCUCCAUGGCACAGGACCGGGUUAUUUACGGGGCCGCCUGCUGCCACCGAUAGCCUCCCAUCAACCUGUGCGUUCCCACAGAGAGGUGGGUGCCAUCAGCCAAACAAUGCCGGCUGGCGACCCCCAAGGGGAGAGCCUUCUCUGUGGGGGCACCCACCCUCUGGAAUGAGCUUCCUCUGGGGCUACGACUACUCCCCGACCUCCGGACCUUCCGACGCGAGCUCAAGACUUUUUUAUUUCACCGCGCAGGGUUGGCCUAAGAUACUACUGUUUUAAGUGGGGUUUUAUCAUUCUCUUUGAAUAUUUUUAAUAGGUACUAGCCAAAUUUGAAUUAGAUUUUUAUAUUGUCUUUUAAUUCUGUUUAUAAUUAUUGUUUUUAUGUUGGCUGUAAACCGCCCUGAGUCCUUCGGGAGAAGGGCGGUAUA